CCCUCCGUGUCAGUGGAGCUGCGACCGGGCGUCCGAAGCCCGGUAUCCCGGUUCGAUUCCGGGCGGAGGGAC
rnacentral:tRNA from 1 species